UUAUCCGUCACUUCUGUGCCUUCGGUUUGUGAGUUCGGUUGCAUUUGUGAAUUGUACACCUGCGUCCUAUAGUAAGUCUGAAUAGCAUUCUCCCUCCUUAUAAGCUAUAUAUGUGCAGCCACUUAAGGAUUAACACUGAUAGGGGAUUGAUGAUUCACGAUGGACAGUCAAGGUUUUCCAUUAAUGGAAAGCCCAUUUACCAUUUUGUUGGGACCUCUACUUUUAGUGAGUACACUGUGGUUCAUGUUGGUUGUGUUGUUAAAAUCAACCCCUCUUGACAAAGGUUGUGCGCUCUGUUGUGGAAUCUCCACAUGUAUACGAUAAACAACAAUAAAUUAUGCAUCUCAAAUAGUAGUUUCAUGUGAGGAGUUCAAUUUUCGAUUGAUCAAAUGCUAUUUUUCUAGAACUUAGUGCUACUGUGAAUGUGGCUAAACCAACAAAAGGAUCAAGUGUGGCCAUAUUUGGACUCGGGGCUGUGCUGCUGCAGAAGGAGCAAGAAUUGUUGGUGCUUCAAGGAUAAUUGAUGUUGAUUUAAUUCCUAGCAGAUUUGAGUUAGCUAAGAAAGAAAUUUGGUGCGACAGUUUGUGAAUCCAAAGGAUCAUAAUAAACCAGUUCAAGAGGUAAUUGCUAAGAUGACUGAUGGCAGAGUAGACAAGAGUGUUGAAUAUACUGGGCAUAUUGAUGCUAUGAUUUCAGCAUUUGAAUAUGUCCAUGAUGUAUGUUUUCUGUCGUCAAAUUUCCUUAUUUUAUGUUCUUAUUACUACAUUAGUUUUACUGGAAGUACAUGCUAAUGAAACUUAAACUGGCUGUUCUUGUUGGA